CCUACGGGAGGCUGCAGUGAGGAAUAUUGGUCAAUGGACGAGAGUCUGAACCAGCCAAGCCGCGUGAAGGAGGACUGCCCUAUGGGUUGUAAACUUCUUUUAUAUGGGAAUAAAAUGUGCCACGUGUGGCCUUUUGUAUGUACCAUAUGAAUAAGGAUCGGCUAACUCCGUGCCAGCAGCCGCGGUAAUACGGAGGAUCCGAGCGUUAUCCGGAUUUAUUGGGUUUAAAGGGUGCGUAGGUGGUUUGUUAAGUCAGUUGUGAAAGUUUGGGGCUCAACCGUAGAAUUGCAGUUGAAACUGGCAGUCUUGAGUACAGUAGAGGUAGGCGGAAUGCGUGGUGUAGCGGUGAAAUGCUUAGAUAUCACGAAGAACUCCGAUUGCGAAGGCAGCUUACUGGCCUGCAACUGACGCUGAGGCUCGAAAGCGUGGGUAUCAAACAGGAUUAGAUACCCGUGUAGUC
rnacentral:rRNA from 1 species